GACAGAGCCGCGCGCUGAUGCCAGCUGGCUUGGGCAGUGUGCUCGCGUGCCUGGCGGGACUGCACGGAGGAGACUGUUCUGGCACCGAGCCAGCCAGACACCUCAGAAACAUGGACAAUUUCCUUUUAAACUAAUAGCUUUGGACUUUUGUCAGGUGGAUAAGUUAAACCCUGUGAUUUUCAAGUACUCAAAUGCAAGAAAAAUCUGCAAAGGGAAAGCCCAAGUCAGUGGCACUGGAGCUCCAGAAGGGAAUGUAAACUCCUCCCCAGAUCUAUCGACCCUUACCUGCCCUGCAUUUCAACUUCCUGAAGGCAGCAAUCCAUCUGUUGGAGCCAUAUGGAAGCCUCUCCAUUGUCAAAGCCACACAUUUGGACUAAAUUGAAGCAUUUGGCAUGAAUACAAAAAAUUUAUAACAAGACAGCACAGUCUUAUUAAAGCAGAAACCAUAAAAAGAAAAAGUAUCAAAUAAAAAUAAAUUAAAAGGCUUUAAAUAUAAAUGUGCAGCUACAAGAUGAAAUGUCACAGACAAACUUAAGAAGACAAAAAACAAAAUAUGAAAAGUUUUCUAAUAGUGACCCUCACAAGAUUAUGUUAAUAUGUAGAGUGGUUAUGGAUUUAGAACAGAAAGACAGCUUGUUUGAUAAACGAGUAAAGGAAAUGAAGAGACAUUUCUCAAAAAGGUAAUACAUAUAAUCAGACUAA
rnacentral:lncRNA from 1 species